rnacentral:tRNA from 2 species
GGGCAAUUAGCUCAGCUGGUUAGAGCGCGUCCCUGAUAAGGACGAGGUCGGUGGUUCGAAUCCACCAUUGCCCACCA